CGUCCAAGAACCACGACAGCUUCUGUGUCUCAUCUGCAGCAGUCAUUGAAGUGCCUUUUGGGAUCGGCGUACGAGCACUCACACAGCCAGCUUGACACGCAACGUGCAGUAGCAGUGUCGCUUCAUGGGCCUCAGUCUCGUUAUUUUACUCAUAAAUCAGCAGACGCACUUACCUGCUGCAGCACUGAAAGUAAACUCAUUUGAAACUUUGUCCUGACGGAAUUUUUCAGACAGAGUUCACUGAAACUUGUUUGCAACAGUCUCGCAACGUGCUUAGUUACAGCCCCACAAGUGAACCCACUGGUGCCUGCAUCGCAUCUUGCAGCACGGAAUUUUUUUUGCUGUGUGCUUUCUGUUCAGCCAACUGCAUGCGUGAAGUACAGUCAUUGCCACUCCUGUAAAGUUGCACUCCUUCAUGGAUGCCGACUACCGAAGAUUCACAGUUAGCCUUAGUAAACUGGAUGUUAAAUUAUGCUACAAAAAAGGAGGGGUCAUAUUUUUGAUCACCUUCUUCAGUGAUAAUAUGCAUGUGUGGGAACAACUGCAGCAGAAUAUGAGGCAUGCUUCCUAAAAGCUCUCCUCUAUUGUGAUGAUGAAUCAAUGAACAGCAACGUUACUCACUCUCUCCCAUCAUCAAAAGUGGAGGAGAGCAAGGAUUCACCCUACACCCACUUUUGAUGUUGGGCGAGAGUGAGUAACGCUGCCUAGGGAAGGCUGUCGCUGCCCCGAUGAAGUCCGCUUGCCGAAACAUCAGCUCCAGUGGCACUUCCUUUCUAGGGAUUUUUCAUACCUUCAAGCCUCCAUCUUUUACUGGAAUUCUGUCGGCCAUGGUUCUCAAGUGCAUUGUACUGUUGAUGCCUCACACUUGCCCUUAGUGAAAAGGUUCUGCGUGAAAGUAUAUUGAAGUGAACACACAAUCUGUUGUGAUCCCAUCGGGAGAUGGUCAGUCAGUCUUUCAACCACACGAACUUCAAAACAACCUACAGCUUGUUCAGGCUGCAUUCUUGAAGAAACCCCCCAGUUCAACGCUGCCGCAGUACUAAAGACUGAGGUUGCAUUCGGUACUAUGUUCAUUGCACGGCAAAAAUGUGCUUUUGUCUUCCACUUAAAUGCGAGUCGGGUGUAAUUGGAAGUCACUCUAUUAUAGCCAGUGCCCAACUGUUUGUUCUAUGAAGCAGCAAAUACAGCCAAAAUCACUUACAGCAGAUGAAAUAGUAUCUACUUCCGUCACUUAUGAUGUAAGUAUAGUUUAUUUUUAUAUCUGGUUUUGCCAUGGUGCAACUGAACUCAUCCUCCUACAUUGAUGGAACAUUCAUUCAUUAGUGGGUUCAACUGGAGUAUCUCAUAAAUUAGCGGAAAAAAAGGAAUCCUUGUUCAUGUUCGUGUGAUAACUGACCCUGUUUCUAUGACAGACAGCAUACAUCCAUGUUUCUGUUGUCACAGCUCUGUUCGUAUUUGCAAUAGGUUAGUUAAAACAAAUACGGGGGCUGGUUUUGCUUGUCUCAGAUUUUUCCAAUGUGUACGUCCUUCACGUGGCUUCUGCCAACAGACACGUUGAUGUACUAUCGCUUUGCUUCCCUCGUACGUCUCAGUUCAGUGAGUUCAUUGACCUUGUAGUUGCAAGAUUUAUUGCAAGGACUACAAUUUUGACCACAGGUUGCUGUGUUCUGUUGAUAUUCCAGAAAAAAGUACUAACAAUAUAAUUUCCUCUGUGUCUACUACUAGCGCUGUUACUGAAUAUGUUCUGUUUUUCAAUAGUGUCCUUUUACAAUGCAACUAAGAACGUCCUUCAGAAAGCAGUAGCCAUCUCAUGGCUUUAUCUUUCCUGAUUUGUUUUGUGCUGAAGCAAGUAGCUGGCACCUGAACUGAAGGCUUUCUUUAUUGCUGAUGAGCAGCCAAAUGUUGUGGCACGAGUUUUGGGCAAGUCGAAAUGAACAUGGCAGGCAAAAUCA